UCACAGGUUCAGUCUUUAUUUGGCUUAAGUCUGGUAGGUAUUGCUGGUGAAGGUUAUGAUGUUGGCUAGAGAUAAUGGGACUGCAUGAGUGAAACUAUGGCUUGAGUGUUGUAUGAAUGGAUGCAAGUGGUUUGAGCUAUUGAAGCAACAGAAAUGGCAGAGAAAUAAGUGGAUGCGCAGGUUGGAUAUAUUUAGAUGAAUGUUUAGGACAGGGUAUGUGCAAAUGAGAUUUGAAGCAGGCAGUGAUGCUGAAGCUGUUGUUUGAGUUGAGUUGUAUGCAGUUGAGAACCGGAAAUGCAAUGCAGGGAAAGAGAGUUGAUGAUUGUUUACUGUGACGAAUGAAUUGGAAAAAAACAAUGAUGGCCAUGGGCAGAUAAAUAUGUAUUGCAGUGGUGGAGCUGUUGGAGGACAAGAUGGCCGAGCUAUGGGGAGUUGAAUUGCAGAAAGCGAGAAAUGAUGCGGAUGAUCAUAAUGUGCUGAUGUUGCAGCUGCAAUCCGAGACAAGGAAUUGUGCUGGUGAAGAAGUGGACUGAAAACUGACUUACUGCAGAUGCAACAACAAAGGAGGAGUUUUCCCAUGAUCUGGUGGUGGUUGGCAGUCACUGAUGGUUUGAGCUGAAUCCAGUGGUGGAAUGUGCUAAAAGUGAUGCCACAUUUAUUGUGUUUGGAACUGAAUUUGGAGUGAGCUUGAAGCAGUGGUGUAUGACCGGCAGUUGGAGGAAGUGGUUCAGUAAGAAAAUACACUAGAAGCCUAGAACUGAAAGACCACAAAGGCCAAAUAUUUAAUGGGCUUAGCUUUGUUUGAGGACCGAAUGGUAAUGGGUUGGACAUUUUUGACCGAUAGUUUUGGGAAGGCAGAGAAAGUAAAUAAAAGAAAGGGUUCUACUAUUCAAUCUUUAUCUCUUCUUCUACUUUUAUUCUAGGGUUUAGAAACAUGAUAGGUUUUCUAUUCCUUCUUGUUAUGAUCUCUAUUAACAUGAGUUAAUUUUCUUUUGGUUGAAGAAUAAGUUGGAAUUCCAAACAUGAUUUGUAU